UACGUAGGGUGCAAGCGUUGUCCGGAUUUAUUGGGUUUAAAGGGUGCGUAGGCGGCCCCUGUAAGUCAGUGGUGAAAAUACUCUAGCUUAACUAGAGGGGGUGCCCAAUGAUACUGCAGGGGCUUGAGUACAGAUGAGGGAGGGCGGGAAUUGACGGGUGUAGCGGGUGAAAAUGCAUAGAUAUCGUCAAGAACACCCGAUA
rnacentral:rRNA from 1 species